UACGUAGGCAGCAAGCGUUGUUCGGAGUUACUGGGCGUAAAGGGUGUGUAGGCGGUUGCUUAAGUUUGGUGUGAAAUCUCCCGGCUCAACUGGGGGGGUGCGCCGAAUACUGAGUGACUAGAGUGCGGGAGAGGAAAGUGGAAUUCCUGGUGUAGCGGUGAAAUGCGUAGAUAUCAGGAGGAACACCGGUGGUGUAAACGGCUUUCUGGACCGUAACUGACGCUGAAACACGAAAGCGUGGGGAGCAAACAGG
rnacentral:rRNA from 1 species